UCAGCAUGGGUUUAUGAAUGGUAGAUCUUGUCUGACAAAUCUGAUUUCAUUCUAUGACAAGGUGACCCACUUAGUGGAUGAAGGUAAGGCUGUCGAUGUAGUCUACCUGGACUUCAAUAAAACCUUUGAUACUGUCCCCCACAACUUUCUCGUGGAGAAGCUGGCUGCCCACGAUUUGGAUGGGCGUAUGCUCUGCUGGGUGAACCUCAGGCUGGAUGGCCGGGCCCGAAGAGUUGUGGUCAAUGGAGUUAAAUCCAGUUGGCAGCCGGUCACGAACAAUGUCCCCCAGGGCUCGAUACAUACAGCAAUAGGCAAAGGGCAAAGCUAUUGCAUGUUUGUGACAUUUCUUCACAGUUCCACCUGCUUCCUUUAGAGCUCCCAAAUGUGAUACUCUAAGCACAUCACACAGAUUGACUUGGCACUUCAUUUGUCACGAUAUGUUCAGGUAGACAAGGAAAUAAGCCACAUCAAUAGUAAGUACUAUUGCCUGCUUUUUAUGAAGUUUGUUACUGUGCUUUUGGAAGGUUUAUUCAUGAAGCUGAAUCCAACUGAUUUGGAGAAGAACAAACUGUUGGAAUUGAAAACAAAGACCAUCAUCAAAUGAAUCAUAUUGAUUCCAACAGCUUGGUCAUGUAGUACACAUGUUGCAAAUUUCCAAAUUUCAGCAGGUGUGAAAGAGAGAGAGGAUAUCUCAUUUUAUUACAGCAUACUCACGAAAUUUGCACCUAUUCUUUGUGAUACAAACUCAUAUCUCAUUUACCAUUCUGUGAAAAGACCUCAGCAGACAACGGGCAGCACAAAUAGAGAUGCUGUGUCGCAGAACAGAACUUAUCAACCCCUGCAAUGUGCUGCUGGAGAGUACACGUGGAAUACUGGUAACUGUUAUGAACAUUUUCUUAUGAGAUGGAUUCAGACAGGUAGAGAAGAGUUUGACUAAAUGAAAUGGUCUUGGAUUACUCUCAAAAUGUCCUAGUAUGGUGAUAAAGAAUUGUUCCCUUACUGAACUUGAUUACCAUCCUUCAUAGAAACAAAGAAGAAAAUGGUGAGGUUGACUCUUUUGAAUUUCCAGGAUGUUUUGAAAGUAGGAUAUGUGGACAAAUAAGAAACAGUGAUGUACAUAAACAGCCAGUGGCAGUUCUCAAUGUCUAGGGUCCUUCAAAGGAUAGUAGUUUCUCUAAAAUCACAGUGCUUUCUCUAAAAUCACUAACGCAAUUGCUUCUCCUGCCAGCAUUUCUUUAAGAUGAAUAGAGAUAGUGCUACAGAGGCCAGGUUUUUUGUUUUUUUGGACACUAUGGAUUCAUAAAAUUGAAGGGCCAUUUAUGGAUUCCCAGAAGGCAGAAGCCAGAGAAACUGUUCUGUUUCUCAGGCACCUUUUUAUCGUACAGCAAGGAAUGUUCCAAACCUUCAGGAGGACCUUCAGAUAUCUUAGCAAGUAACAAAAGGCUUUCUACAUGAUGUUCAGAGUGGAGGGAGAAUUGUAUCUAGGCAGACUGAGCAGCCUGCUUCCCUCUGCAGCCACUUUUGUGUGCAAAGAGCUUUCAUCCUUGAGUACAGUCACUACCAUCUGCUGCUGGGUGCAUGUGGCCCAUUUGCUGGCCUGGUGAUCCUUCACUGAUCAGAAAAUUUGGCCAGAGCAGCUACUUGGGAGAGAAGGCCAAACUGUUAUGAAGGCAAUCUAUGUCCAUCUCUGUUUGGGGACAGCACUGUGAGACAUGCUAAAAAGCUAAAGCAUGAAGUAAAGGUCUCCUGGUCCUUAUGUCAUUAACAUUUCUUUUUCCUGUGUUUUUAGAGGCUGGUGGUUAAUGAAUCAAUGACGCAUUUGGGGGGUAAAAAGCAAGGGGUAGAAGGGAGAUAUUGUCUUAAUUUCUGGCUGCAGUAGCAUUAUCUUUGGUACUUCAAAACUCAGUAUUACUUUUCAUGACUCUUUAACUCCUUCCUCAGACUACCUGGUGAACUUUUUUCCAUCCACUGGACACAGAGUCUCUUUUUGAUGGGGCUGUAAUACAUAACAGCAGAUCCACUUGGUCAUCUGGAAUCAUGAUUGCCAACACAGAGCCAUGUGUCACUGCAGGGGAAGAAUAACAGGCAAAAGGAUGACGUGGAUUUUCCAUGCUCUCCUGCUGCCAUUUAUUAUUACACUGCACAAGUUGGGUACAGCAGCUCAGACAGCUUCCUGCAUCAAAGACUGAAUACCUUGAAGAGAUGACACCCAGCAUUCCAGCCCCAUGCCUCAGUUUCCUCAGCUGAGAAAGAACCGAUGCCCUUUGAACAAAGCUGAAGGGAGACAGGAUGGAUCUUAUCCGGCAUUGGCUUCCAAGAUGAGCUCUGAGAGAAGUUUUAUCUUCCCUUUGGUGAAGCCUCAUCCAGGGGGAACAGAAUGGCAGUUUCUGGUUUCUCCUUCUCUACUGAAUUGCUCAUCAGCUCUUCAAAAUAGAAACUUUUUCUUCUUUGGACAUGCAGGCCAAAGAAAUUGAUUCCUCCAAGAAGCCAAGUAUUCUAAGAUUUGUGAGAGCAUGUAUCUCAGAAAUGCAUCCAGUCUUAAUUACAGACCUCAAGUGAUGAAUGCUAACUGUCAACAGUUCAAAAGGAGGCCUGAAAAAGGUAAAGUGACCUUGCAGAAUUGGUUAAUUGAUUACAGCUAUCACACCAUCAUCACACAAAGCAUUAUUUUACUUGUGUUGUGGAAACAGUCUGGUUCUGGUGAUUUCAGCACUGUGAAGAUGAGUAACUCUUAAACCAAUUCUUAGCAUUGUCUGUGCUUCUAAGAUUGCAAAAGGAUGGAGAGGUAACAUAUGGGAAUGGCACAAAGCUGCAUCAGGAGAGGUUCAAACUUGAUAGUGGAAAAAAUUUCUGUACCAUAAUGAUGGUCAAACACUGGAACAGGCUUCCUAGAGAGGUAAUUGAUGCCCAAUGCAUGUCAGUGUUCAAGAGGCAAUUGGAUAAUGCCCUGAAUAUACUUUUACCAUUGACUAGCCCUGAAAUGGUCAGGUGGUUGG